rnacentral:rRNA from 1 species
CAGGAUUCCCCUAGUAACGGCGAGUGAAGAGGGAAAAGCUCAAAUUUUGAAUCUGGUGUCUUUGACUCCCGAGUUGUAAUCUAGAGAAGUGUUUUCCGUGUCGGACCGUGUACAAGUUCCCUGGAACGGGGCGUCAUAGAGGGUGAGAAUCCCGUAUAUGGCACGGACUGCCGAUGCUUUUGUGAUACACUCUCAACGAGUCGAGUUGUUUGGGAAUGCAGCUCAAAAUGGGUGGUAAAUUCCAUCUAAAGCUAAAUAUUGGCGAGAGACCGAUAGCGAACAAGUACCGUGAGGGAAAGAUGAAAAGCACUUUGGAAAGAGAGUGAAACAGUACGUGAAAUUGUUGAAAGGGAAGCGUUUGAAGUCAGUCGUAUCUGGCGGGAUUCAGCCGGGCUUUGCCAGGUGUACUUCUCGUYUGAUGGGUCAGCAUCAAUUUCGACCGGGGGAAAAAGACAUGAGGAAUGUGGCUGUCUUGGGGCAGUGUUAUAGCCUUGUGUUGUAUGCCUCGGUUGGGAUUGAGGAACGCAGCGCGCCUCAUAGGCCAAGGGUUACCCUUUGACACGCGCUUAGGAUGCUGGCAUAAUGGCUUUAAGCGACCCGUCUGAACACG